GACGGGUAGCCUAGUGGACAUGGCAUCUGCCCGGUAAGCGGAACACUGUGGGUUCGAUUCCCAUCCCUGGACA